rnacentral:SRP_RNA from 1 species
CCGUGCUAGGCGGGGAGCUAGCGGUGCCCUGUACCCGCAAGCCGCUCCAGCGGGGCUGAAUCCCCGCCCGCGGCCCGGGGGGCCCGAGGCUGCUCCCGGCACGGGGCGAUGAUGGCCGGGUCCUGCGCGACGCCGACCCGCGAACCCCGUCAGGUCCGGAAGGAAGCAGCGGUAAGCGGACCCCGGCGGGUGCCGCAGGGGCGCCUGGCCGGAGCCACCGGCCGGCGACGCGCGCGGGUCCUGCGAGGUCAACGGCGGGUGCACGG